rnacentral:rRNA from 1 species
AUUGAACGCUGGCGGCAGGCCUAACACAUGCAAGUCGAACGAGUGGCGGACGGGUGAGUAAUGUCUGGGAAACUGCCUGAUGGAGGGGGAUAACUACUGGAAACGGUAGCUAAUACCGCAUACCCUCAGAUGUGCCCAGAUGGGAUUGUCUGGUUGGGGGGGUAACGGCUCACCAAGGCGCCGAUCCCUAGCUGGUCUGAGAGGAUGACCAGCCACACUGGAACUGAGACACGGUCCAGACCCCUACGGUAUGCAGAAUUGGGGAAUAUUGCACAAGGGGCGAAAGCCGGAUGCAGCCAUGCCGCGUGUAUGAAGAAGGCCUUCGGGUUGUAAAGUACUUGCAGCGGGGAGGCGUUACCCGCAGAAGAAGCACCGGCUAACUCCGUGCCAGCAGCCGCGGUAAUUC